UUAAUAGAGAAAAAUAACAUAUUUACAUCGUUCUGUGUUUCUGCUGAUGAACAGCUGCUCGUGUCUGUUGCUGACAACCCCUGAGCAGCUUGUAUUUUCACUGUUAAACCUAACAUGUCAUUUGCAUGAAGUUCACAGUUGUAAGCUAAACAGAUUUGUGACUUAAUUGUGGUACAGUCCUUACUGAAAUCAAAACACAGAUGUAGAGAACUCUGCCGCCCUUCCUGCACGCUUUGUCAGCAGAUGUGCGGCCCUUCAUAGUUCUGCCCUGGGGGGUGACUCUCCUUUGGGCUCUCCCACUAGACCCACGGCAUGGACGUGCAUGGUGUGCCAGGCCCCAGGCCGGCAGCGAGCAAGAUGGUGAGAGUUCCGGCCCAGUGGAGCUCGUCUUCCAGCAGGGGAGACAGAUGCUAAACAAGAUGGGUGUUUAGCCUGUGUCGUAGGUUAGAUAUAAGGGCUUUGUGAUAAAGCAGGAAAGGGCAGCAGGGACGUGAGUGCUGGUGGUGGGUGUGACGGGUGAGGAGUGGCUGGCCGAGGGGCAGGUGGACUUCGGAGGGUGAGGGCUGAGCUGGUGUGUGCCUGCCCAGCUGGGGCGGCCUCCUUAGACGGCAGACUGAGGAGCCACACAGGGAGCCUGAGGGGCGCGGAGAGAGGCUGACUGGUGCUGGCCGCCAGGCACGCACCUUGAAUGAUUGGGGAACCUUCAACGGGCUUUGAGCAGACAGUGAUGCUGAGAUGGGCUUUAACGUGAUCCCGUAGCUUUUAAACAUUGGCAGUAAUUCUGGGGCAAAGACAGAGCAGGGAGACCCAGGUGGGGGCCAGUGCGUGGGUCCAGAUGUGCAAUGAUAAGGCCAGAGUGAGGACAGCGGGAGAUUCUGCCUAUAGGUCGGAUGAGAGAGGAGAACCAAGGCCCAAAGGUUCUGGCCUGAGCACCUGGGGUGGGAAGUCUGGAGGUGUCGGCUGGUUGUGGAGAGGUACGAGUUCAGUUUGGAUUCCUUCACGUUGAGACUAGACACUCAGGGGAAGUGGCCUGGAGGCCGGUUGUCACGUAGAUCUGGAGUUCCUGGGAGAGGUCGGAGGUGAAGUGGAUCGUGAGCCGUCAGCAGAUAGAUGGUAUUUCAGUGUGGAUGAGAAGAGGUCCAGCGCUCAGCCGCAGGGAGAGGGGUAGUCUGACCCAUGGUCCAGGAGGAGGGGCAUUGCAGGGCAGGGCAUGGCAGGGCGUACCUGCGCGAGUGGUCAUGGCUGUGGACGCUCACACGCUGUAGGCUGGGAGGUGGAUUGAAGUCAGGAUUGAAGAAGGCUCCCUAAUUUUUAUCCAGAUUUGAUGUGCUUGGCCUCAUCCGUGUACUUAUUGCUCUGUUUUAGAAAAACAAAAUCAAUAAUAAUAAGCACAAUAAGUAAUAUGUACUUAUAGGAAGUUCAACAGUCCAGGGGCUUCCCUGGUGGCACAGUGGUUAAGAAUCCACCUGCCAAUGCAGGGGACACGGGUUCAAGCCCUGGUCCGGGAAGAUCCCACGUGCCGCGGGGCAACUAAGCCCAUGCACCACAACUACUGAGCCUGCGCUCUAGAGCCUGCGAGCCCCAACUACUGAAGCCCGUGUGCCUAGAGCCUGUGCUGCGCAACAAGAGAAGUCAUUGCAGUGAGAAGCCCACACACCCCAAUGAAGAGUAGCCCUGCUCGCCGCAACUAGAGGAAGCCUGCACACAGCAACGAAGACCCAGCGCAGCCAAAGCUCAGCAGUCCAGAAGGAUAAAGGAUGAAGGUGACAGAAACCCCGUGCCUGGUGAGUCUGAUUCCUGCCCAUUGACCGGCCACUCUCCUCUCGUCCUGGAUGAUGUCAGAACAGGACCUGGCGGAUGUGGUGCAGAUCGCCGUGGAGGAGCUGAGUCCCGACCACCCAGUUGUACUGGAGAAUCAUGUAGUGACAGACGAAGAUGAACCAGCUUUGAAACGUCAGCGACUAGAGAUCAAUUGCCAGGAUCCUUCUAUCAAGUCAUUCCUGUAUUCCAUUAACCAGACAAUCUGCUUGCGAUUGGAUAGCAUUGAAGCCAAGCUGCAGGCUCUGGAGGCCACAUGUAAAUCACUGGAAGAGAAACUGGAUCUGGUCACCAACAAGCAGCACAGCCCCAUCCAGGUGCCCAUGGUGGCGGGCUCUCCUCUCGGCGCCACCCAGACCUGCAACAAAGUGCGAUGCGUCGUCCCCCAGACUACAGUAAUUCUCAACAGUGAUCGGCAGAACGCCGUUGUAGCCAAGAUGGAAGACCCCCUGAGCGGCAGGGCACCGGAUCCCCUGGAAAAUAUCAUUAGCAACGCGGUGCCCGGGCGUCGGCAGAACACCAUCGUGGUGAAGGUGCCAGGUCAGGAGGACAGCCACAAUGAGGACGGGGAGAGCGGGUCCGAGGCCAGCGACUCCGUUUCCAACUGUGGACAGUCAGGAAGUCAGAACAUCGGCAACAACGUCACCCUCAUCACCCUGAACUCGGAAGAGGACUACCCCAAUGGCACGUGGCUGGGGGACGAGAACAACCCCGAGAUGCGGGUGCGCUGCGCCAUCAUCCCCUCCGACAUGCUGCACAUCAGCACCAACUGCCGCACGGCCGAGAAGAUGGCGCUCACGCUGCUGGACUACCUCUUCCACCGCGAGGUGCAGGCCGUCUCCAACCUCUCGGGCCAGGGCAAGCACGGCAAGAAGCAGCUCGACCCCCUCACCAUCUACGGCAUCCGCUGUCACCUCUUCUAUAAAUUUGGAAUCACGGAAUCCGACUGGUAUCGAAUCAAACAGAGCAUCGACUCCAAAUGUCGGACGGCCUGGCGGCGAAAACAGCGAGGCCAGAGCCUGGCCGUCAAGAGCUUCUCCAGGAGAACCCCGUCCUCGUCCUCGUACGGCGCCUCAGAGACCAUGAUGAGCACGCCGCCGCCCGCCAGUGAGCUGCAGCAGCCCCCGCCUCAGGCCCUGCACUACGCCCUGGCCAACGCCCAGCAGGUCCAGAUCCACCAGAUCGGGGAGGACGGACAGGUCCAAGUAGGCCACCUCCACAUCGCCCAGGUGCCUCAAGGGGAGCAGGUGCAGAUCACGCAGGACAGCGAGGGCAAUCUACAGAUACACCACGUGGGACAAGAUGGGCAGGUGCUGCAGGGGGCCCAGCUGAUAGCCGUGGCUUCUUCAGACCCUGCUGCCACGGGGGUGGACGGCUCGCCGCUCCAAGGCAGCGACAUCCAGGUCCAGUACGUGCAGCUGGCGCCGGUGACCGACCACACCGCUGCAGCCCAGGCGGCCGACGCCCUGCAGCCCACCCUGCAGUCCGAGAUGCAGCUGGAGCAUGGGGCCAUCCAGAUCCAGUGAGGGGACGGCCGCCGACCAGACAGGGCCCGAGCCAGAGCCACCGCUCAGCGCUGGUUCCCGUCACCCGCACCGUUCACACGCACCCGUCCCUCGGCUUCGCACGGGAGGGGGCCCGCACACGUUCUGCUCAAGUGCAUCCGAGUGCCUCAUCCUCGGGGAGAGUGCCCCGCCUAAUUGUUCUGACUGGAACCUCCAAUACUAGAUCGAGGAGAAAUGGUGAGAGUGGGCACCCUUGUCUUGUCCUGUUCCUGAUCUUAGAGGAAACACUUUCAACUUUACACCAUUGAGUAUGAUGUUAGCUGUGGGUUUGUCAUAUGUGGCUUUUAUUAUGUUGAAGUAUGUUCCUUUUAUAACUAUUUGUUGAGAGUUUUUAUUGUGAAAGGAUAUUCUAGUUUUCAGAUGCUUUUUCUGCAUCUAUUGAGAUGGUAUGAUUUUUCUCUGUAUUCUCUUAAUGUGGUGUGUUACAUGUAAAGGUUUGUGUAUGUUGAACCAUCCUUGCAUCCCAGGGAUCACUGUCAUGGUGUGUGGCCCUUUUCAUGUGCUAGUGAAUUUGGUUUGCUAGAAUUUUGCUGAGAAUUUUGCAUCCAUAUUCAUCAGGGAUGUUGGUCUGUAGUUCUCUCUCCUUGGGGUAUCUUUGCUUUGGUAUCAGGGUAAUGCUGGCCUUGCAAACGAGUUUGGGAUAUCCCUUCUUCAGUUUUUUGGAAGCGUUUGAGAAGGAUUGACAUUAAUUUUUCUUUACAGGUUUGGUAGAGUUCACCAGUGAAGCCAUCUGGUCCUGGGCUUUUCUGUGUUGGGAGGUUUCGAUUACUGACUCAAUCUCUUUACUUGUAUUGGUCUGUUCAGGUUUUCUAUUUCUUCAUGAUUCAGCCUUGGUAGGUUGUAUGUUUCUAGGAAUUUAUCCAUUUCUUCUAGGUUAUCCAGUUUGUUGGUGUGUAAUUGUUCAUAGUAGUCUUUUACAAUCCCUUGUAUUUCUGUGGUGUCAGUUGGAUGUCUCCUCAUAUUUCUGGUUUUAUUUAUUUGAAUCUUCUUUUCUUUUCUUAGCUGGUCUAGCUAAAUGUUUGUUAAUUUUAUCUUUUUAAAAUAUCAGCACCGGGCUUCCCUGGUAGUGCAGCGGUUAAGAACCCGCCUGCUAAUGCAGGGGACACGGGUUCAAGCCCUGGUCCGGGAAGGUCCCACAUGCCGCGGAGCAGCUAAGCCCAUGCGCCACAACUACUGAGCCUGCGCUCUACAGCCCGCGAGCCACAACUACUGAGGCCUGCACGCCUAGAGCCCAUGCUCCGCAACAAGAGAAGACAGUGCAAUGAGAAGCCUGCGCACCGCCAACGAAGAGUAGCCCCCGCUCGCUGCAACUAGAGAAAGCCUGUGUGCAGCAACAAAGACCCAAUGCAGCCACAAACAAACAAACAAACAAAUAAAUAAAUUUAUUAAAAAAAAAUAUCAGCACCAUGAGCACUGUAUACAUUUACAAUUGUAAUAUCCUUUUGAUAAAUGGAUGAAUUGACCCUUUUAUCGUUAUUUAAUGACCUUAUUUGUCUCUUGUUACAGUUUUGACUCAAAGUCAAAACUUUUGAAAAAUGUAAGUA